rnacentral:rRNA from 1 species
UACGGAGGGUGCAAGCGUUAAUCGGAAUUACUGGGCGUAAAGCGCGCGUAGGUGGUUAAGUCAGUCAGAUGUGAAAGCCCCGGGCUCAACCUGGGAAUUGCACCUGAUACUGCUUGACUCGAGUACGGUAGAGGGGUGUGGAAUUUCCUGUGUAGCGGUGAAAUGCGUAGAUAUAGGAAGGAACAUCAGUGGCGAAGGCGACACCCUGGACUGAUACUGACACUGAGGUGCGAAAGCGUGGGGAGCAAACAGG